rnacentral:rRNA from 1 species
UACGAAGGGGGCUAGCGUUGCUCGGAAUCACUGGGCGUAAAGCGCACGUAGGCGGAUUGCUAAGUCAGGGGUGAAAUCCUGGAGCUCAACUCCAGAACUGCCUUUGAUACUGGCGACCUUGAGUCCGGGAGAGGUGAGUGGAACUCCGAGUGUAGAGGUGAAAUUCGUAGAGAUCCGGAAGAACACCGGUGGCGAAGGCGGCCUGCUGGGCAGUUGCUGACGCUGAGGCGCGACAGCGUGGGGAGCAAACAGG